rnacentral:tRNA from 1 species
AAUGAAGAGCCUGACUAAAGGACUAUCGUGAUAGGAUAAAAUAUGUAGUACAAAUCUUAACUACCUUCAUUA